rnacentral:rRNA from 1 species
UGUGAGCUCGAUGAGUAGGGCGGGACACGUGGUAUCCUGUCUGAAUAUGGGGGGACCAUCCUCCAAGGCUAAAUACUCCUGACUGACCGAUAGUGAACCAGUACCGUGAGGGAAAGGCGAAAAGAACCCCGGCGAGGGGAGUGAAAAAGAACCUGAAACCGUGUACGUACAAGCAGUGGGAGCACGCUUAGGCGUGUGACUGCGUACCUUUUGUAUAAUGGGUCAGCGACUUAUAUUCUGUAGCAAGGUUAACCGAAUAGGGGAGCCGAAGGGAAACCGAGUCUUAACUGGGCGUUAAGUUGCAGGGUAUAGACCCGAAACCCGGUGAUCUAGCCAUGGGCAGGUUGAAGGUUGGGUAACACUAACUGGAGGACCGAACCGACUAAUGUUGAAAAAUUAGCGGAUGACUUGUGGCUGGGGGUGAAAGGCCAAUCAAACCGGGAGAUAGCUGGUUCUCCCCGAAAGCUAUUUAGGUAGCGCCUCGUGAAUUCAUCUCCGGGGGUAGAGCACUGUUUCGGCAAGGGGGUCAUCCCGACUUACCAACCCGAUGCAAACUGCGAAUACCGGAGAAUGUUAUCACGGGAGACACACGGCGGGUGCUAACGUCCGUCGUGAAGAGGGAAACAACCCAGACCGCCAGCUAAGGUCCCAAAGUCAUGGUUAAGUGGGAAACGAUGUGGGAAGGCCCAGACAGCCAGGAUGUUGGCUUAGAAGCAGCCAUCAUUUAAAGAAAGCGUAAUAGCUCACUGGUCGAGUCGGCCUGCGCGGAAGAUGUAACGGGGCUAAACCAUGCACCGAAGCUGCGGCAGCGACGCUUAUGCGUUGUUGGGUAGGGGAGCGUUCUGUAAGCCUGUGAAGGUGUGCUGUGAGGCAUGCUGGAGGUAUCAGAAGUGCGAAUGCUGACAUAAGUAACGAUAAAGCGGGUGAAAAGCCCGCUCGCCGGAAGACCAAGGGUUCCUGUCCAACGUUAAUCGGGGCAGGGUGAGUCGACCCCUAAGGCGAGGCCGAAAGGCGUAGUCGAUGGGAAACAGGUUAAUAUUCCUGUACUUGGUGUUACUGCGAAGGGGGGACGGAGAAGGCUAUGUUGGCCGGGCGACGGUUGUCCCGGUUUAAGCGUGUAGGCUGGUUUUCCAGGCAAAUCCGGAAAAUCAAGGCUGAG